AUGCUUGCUUCGGCAGCACAUAUGCUAAAACUGGAGCGAUACAGAAAAGAUUAGCAUGGCCCCUGCACAAGGAUGACACACAAAUUCGUGAAGCGUUUCAUAUUUUU
ensembl:snRNA U6 U6 spliceosomal RNA